AAAGAUGGCUAUGUGACUGCGGCUGAUAAUAUCAGCUGAGGAAAGUCCGGGCUCCACGGAAAAUAGUACUUGGUAACUCCAAGCUGAGGCAACUCAAGGGCUAGUGCAGCAGAGAAUAGACCGCCCAAUUUUUGGGCAACCCAAUUUUGGGAAACCCAAUUUUUAGGUAAGGGUGAAACGGUGCGGUAAGAGCGCACCAGAUUUCUUAGUAAUAAGGAAUGCUUGGUAAACCCUACUAGGAGCAAGGUCAAAUAGGGAUAGUUCGGCGUUUUCGAGCAUAUGCUAUCCGGGUAGACUGCAUGAGGUAAUCAGCGAUGAUUAUCCCAGAUGAAUAGUCACACUCGACAGAAUCCGGCUUAUAGGCCAUCUUUUUCC
rnacentral:RNase_P_RNA from 1 species